AUAGAAGGUAAAUUGCGUUUAGUGACAUAAGUCUUAAAAAAAAGAGAGAAAAAAAAGGAAAACAGAAAGACGUUUCUUACAUCUUGAUUUCUGAUUUUCUUCGAGCAACUCUAUAUUCCGAUCAGAGAAUCCAUCGAUUCAGCAUGUAUAUCCAAUCAGAGAAUCCAUCGAUUCUGCAUGUAUCUGGGCCGAUCUAGAUCGUUGAUCAUAUUUGGCUUCAAUUGAGUGUGAAUUAUUGCAAAGAGAAGCCGGAUAGCCACUCAUGAAGGUAGGAAACACCAUGACCGAUAUCUGAAGGUAGACAGGAGUCGAAAACCCCGAUUGUCUUAAUCCGGGCAAAAGUUAGAUUUCGAUGCGUGCCCAUAAACCAAUCAAUCAUCAUCUCUAUAAGAUAUGCAAGACACCGACUUGAACUCUCCAAGCCGUUUUGUACAGCUUCACAUCAUCAAGGAAAGCAAUUGAUUGAGACAUUGGAAAAAAGAAAAAUGAGUCGUUUGCUGUGAGUAAAGGUAAUUGUUGGAUGAGUAAGAAAUAAGAAAGACGUUUGAUAUUUAUAGUGAAGUAGAAUGUUAGGGUUUUUGGCUUUAAAAUUUUCGAAAAUCUUGUAGAGGAAGCAGAAAAUAUUGGAUACGUUAACUAUCAUAUCUUCU